AUUGAAGGAAUUAAGGGCAUAMAGUGGAUGCCUUGGCACUAAGASMGAUGAAGGACGCAAG
rnacentral:rRNA from 1 species